rnacentral:rRNA from 1 species
AUUGAACGCUGGCGGCAGGCCUAACACAUGCAAGUCGAGCGGAUGAAGGGAGCUUGCUCCUGGAUUCAGCGGCGGACGGGUGAGUAAUGCCUAGGAAUCUGCCUGGUAGUGGGGGAUAACGUCCGGAAACGGGCGCUAAUACCGCAUACGUCCUGAGGGAGAAAGUGGGGGAUCUUCGGAUCUAACGCUAUCAGAUGAGCCUAUGUCGGAUUAGCUAGUUGGUGGGGUAAAGGCCUACCAAGGCGACGAUCCGUAACUGGUCUGAGAGGAUGAUCAGUCACACUGGAACUGAGACACGGUCCAGACUCCUACGGGAGGCAGCAGUGGGGAAUAUUUGACAAUGGGCGAAAGCCUGAUCCAGCCAUGCCGCGUGUGUGAAGAUGGUCUUCGGAUUGUAAAGCACUUUAAGUUGGGAGGAAGGGCAGUAAAUUAAUACCUUGCUGUUUUGACGUUACCAACAGAAUAAGCACCGGCUAACUUCGUG